GUAGUCGAUGGGAAACAGGUUAAUAUUCCUGUACUUGGUGUUACUGCGAAGGGGGGACGGAGAAGGCUAUGUUGGCCGGGCGACGGUUGUCCCGGUUUAAGCGUGUAGGCUGGUUUUCCAGGCAAAUCCGGAAAACCAAGGCUGAGGCGUGAUGACGAGGCACUACGGUGCUGAAGCGACAAAUGCCCUGCUUCCAGGAAAAGCCUCUAAGCAUCAGGUAACAUCAAAUCGUACCCCAAACCGACACAGGUGGUCAGGUAGAGAAUACCAAGGCGCUUGAGAGAACUCGGGUGAAGGAACUAGGCAAAAUGGUGCCGUAACUUCGGGAGAAGGCACGCUGAUAUGUAGGUGAAGCGACUUGCUCGUGGAGCUGAAAUCAGUCGAAGAUACCAGCUGGCUGCAACUGUUUAUUAAAAACACAGCACUGUGCAAACACGAAAGUGGACGUAUACGGUGUGACGCCUGCCCGGUGCCGGAAGGUUAAUUGAUGGGGUUAGCGGCAACGCGAAGCUCUUGAUCGAAGCCCCGGUAAACGGCGGCCGUAACUAUAACGGUCCUAAGGUAGCGAAAUUCCUUGUCGGGUAAGUUCCGACCUGCACGAAUGGCGUAAUGAUGGCCAGGCUGUCUCCACCCGAGACUCAGUGAAAUUGAACUCGCUGUGAAGAUGCAGUGUACCCGCGGCAAGACGGAAAGACCCCGUGAACCUUUACUAUAGCUUGACACUGAACAUUGAGCCUUGAUGUGUAGGAUAGGUGGGAGGCUUUGAAGUGUGGACGCCAGUCUGCAUGGAGCCGACCUUGAAAUACCACCCUUUAAUGUUUGAUGUUCUAACGUUGGCCCGUAAUCCGGGUUGCGGACAGUGUCUGGUGGGUAGUUUGACUGGGGCGGUCUCCUCCUAAAGAGUAACGGAGGAGCACGAAGGUUGGCUAAUCCUGGUCGGACAUCAGGAGGUUAGUGCAAUGGCAUAAGCCAGCUUGACUGCGAGCGUGACGGCGCGAGCAGGUGCGAAAGCAGGUCAUAGUGAUCCGGUGGUUCUGAAUGGAAGGGCCAUCGCUCAACGGAUAAAAGGUACUCCGGGGAUAACAGGCUGAUACCGCCCAAGAGUUCAUAUCGACGGCGGUGUUUGGCACCUCGAUGUCGGCUCAUCACAUCCUGGGGCUGAAGUAGGUCCCAAGGGUAUGGCUGUUCGCCAUUUAAAGUGGUACGCGAGCUGGGUUUAGAACGUCGUGAGACAGUUCGGUCCCUAUCUGCCGUGGGCGCUGGAGAACUGAGGGGGGCUGCUCCUAGUACGAGAGGACCGGAGUGGACGCAUCACUGGUGUUCGGGUUGUCAUGCCAAUGGCACUGCCCGGUAGCUAAAUGCGGAAGAGAUAAGUGCUGAAAGCAUCUAAGCACGAAACUUGCC
rnacentral:rRNA from 1 species